UAACUGCGUGCAGACGUGUGAACUGCAGGACACAUGAACACCGACGUUUUGAACGCAAAUGGCGGCUUGAAAUAAAUUUCAAGCCACGUCUGGCUGAGGGUCGGAUAUAAAAUCAAAAACAAAAAUGCUUUCUAAGUACAUGGAUAUGUCUUAGUGAAGUUUUAUCGUCAAGUUUUUCUAAAGCUUGAUUAGAAUAUCAUUGUAUGUUUGCUAAGUUUGUUCUAAUGUUUUGUGAACAAGCAGCAGAUUUAUGUAAUAAUAAAAUCUGUGGAAGCAGCAACAUGCUAUUGAAAAAAACAUUACAAAAUGAAUCACAUAUACGACCUCAGAGUAGGCGAGAUUACCCGCUAAAUUUAA
rnacentral:misc_RNA from 1 species